UCAUGCGCCACAGUCCCCUGACCGUGCGCCGGAAAAAUUAACAGCUCCGGAAGAGGAGAAUAUAUCGAAUGAUUUAAACCAGAAUCCAAGCAUCGAUAACAUUCAGCAGAACUGUACCAGUUCGGUGCAGGAAGAGCUGGAACCGCCCGGAACCGUUCAAAUACCCCGUGUUCUAUCCAAAUCUUCACAGAAACAAGAUUUUUUUUUUUUUUCAAAAGACCUGCAUUAUAAGGUAACUUUAUUUUGUUUCACAGAAUAUCUUAAAUUGAGGAAAAGACGGCGACUCUGUGCUCUCUAUACCAGGGCGAGGCUUGUUAGAGGUUUAUUGAAUGAGGCAACGUUGAUGGUGGAGCAGAUUUCAUCGAGACCUGGACAGCAACAGCGCAGACAGA